rnacentral:rRNA from 1 species
UUUUCCUACGGGAGGCAGCAGUGGGGAAUAUUGCACAAUGGGGGGAACCCUGAUGCAGCGACGCCGCGUGGGUGAAGAAGUCAUUCGUGACGUAAAGCCCUAUCAGCAGGGAAGAAAAUGACGGUACCUGACUAAGAAGCCCCGGCUAACUACGUGCCAGCAGCCGCGGUAAUACGUAGGUGGCAAGCGUUAUCCGGAUUUACUGGGUGUAAAGGGCGUGUAGGCGGGAAAGCAAGUCAGAUGGGAAAACCAUGGGC